ACACCUACGGGACGCAGCAGUAGGGAAUCUUCCACAAUGGACGAAAGUCUGAUGGAGCAACGCCGCGUGAGUGAAGAAGGGUUGCGGCUCGUAAAGCUCUGUUGGGAGUGAAGAAAGAUAGAGGUAGUAACUGGCCUUUAUUUGACGGUAAUUACUUAGAAAGUCACGGCUAACUACGUGCCAGCAGCCGCGGUAAUACGUAGGUGGCAAGCGUUGUCCGGAUUUAUUGGGCGGAAAGCGAGUGC
rnacentral:rRNA from 1 species